UAGGUACUAUCAAUUUACUUAUUUAUUUCAUUUACAAUGGCUUGGGACAUUGAGCUUUUCUUGUGAUGAAAGUUGGCUACUAAUUUUAGAUAACUCUUGGAGUUCUUCUUAUAUGUUACCCUCCAGAACCGUCUUUCUCCAACUUUGGUAAAAGUUGUUGCUAACUAGAUAUUCAUAUUGCAUUUCAGCCAUCCUACAAGACCAAGGCAGCGUACCUGGUGGUGUCGACAAGUGAAAAAUGCUCAUCGAAGCUGUGUUUUGUUUUGAACCUAUUAGACAUAAGACUAUGAGCUCACUGUUAGUAAAAGUUGAGCAAUGAGCUUUAAGUGAUAGUGAGCUAAGCUUUUGGUUACAAGUAGUGGAUGUAUGACUUUUGGUCUCAUGAGAUAGGUAGGGAUGUUGAUGGCUUCUCAUGCACAAACUUCAUGUCUGCGAGCUUGUAAUGUAUUUUGUACUUGUGCGACCAUACAUUGGGCUAGCUCAUAUAUGAAUAAAUCAAUAUAUUAUGCUUAUAUUAAUCAGUGUCCUUGUAUGUAUGGUCAAUGUAUAUAUUGUAUUUCAAUGUUUGUGCAUUGACAAUAUAUAAUUUGGGAUUCAUUAUAUACA
rnacentral:lncRNA from 1 species